rnacentral:rRNA from 2 species
CACUGUGUGUUGUUGGGUAGGGGAGCGUUCUGUAAGCCUGUGAAGGUGUGUCGUGAGGCAUGCUGGAGGUAUCAGAAGUGCGAAUGCUGACAUAAGUAACGAUAAAGCGGGUGAAAAGCCCGCUCGCCGGAAGACCAAGGGUUCCUGUCCAACGUUAAUCGGGGCAGGGUGAGUCGACCCCUAAGGCGAGGCCGAAAGGCGUAGUCGAUGGGAAACGGGUUAAUAUUCCCGUACUUGGUGUUACUGCGAAGGGGGGACGGAGAAGGCUAUGUUGGCCGGGCGACGGUUGUCCCGGUUUAAGCGUGUAGGUGUGUGUUCCAGGUAAAUCCGGUUCACUUUAACACUGAGGCGUGACGACGAGGCACUACGGUGCUGAAGCAACAAAUGCCCUGCUUCCAGGAAAAGCCUCUAAGCAUCAGGUAACAUCAAAUCGUACCCCAAACCGACACAGGUGGUCAGGUAGAGAAUACCAAGGCGCUUGAGAGAACUCGGGUGAAGGAACUAGGCAAAAUGGUGCCGUAACUUCGGGAGAAGGCACGCUGACACGUAGGUGAAGUGAUUUACUCAUGGAGCUGAAGUCAGUCGAAGAUACCAGCUGGCUGCAACUGUUUAUUAAAAACACAGCACUGUGCAAACACGAAAGUGGACGUAUACGGUGUGACGCCUGCCCGGUGCCGGAAGGUUAAUUGAUGGGGUCAGCGCAAGCGAAGCUCCUGAUCGAAGCCCCGGUAAACGGCGGCCGUAACUAUAACGGUCCUAAGGUAGCGAAAUUCCUUGUCGGGUAAGUUCCGACCUGCACGAAUGGCGUAAUGAUGGCCAGGCUGUCUCCACCCGAGACUCAGUGAAAUUGAACUCGCUGUGAAGAUGCAGUGUACCCGCGGCAAGACGGAAAGACCCCGUGAACCUUUACUAUAGCUUGACACUGAACAUUGAGCCUUGAUGUGUAGGAUAGGUGGGAGGCUUUGAAGUGUGGACGCCAGUCUGCAUGGAGCCGACCUUGAAAUACCACCCUUUAAUGUUUGAUGUUCUAACGUGGACCCGUUACCCGGGUUGCGGACAGUGUCUGGUGGGUAGUUUGACUGGGGCGGUCUCCUCCUAAAGAGUAACGGAGGAGCACGAAGGUUGGCUAAUCCUGGUCGGACAUCAGGAGGUUAGUGCAAUGGCAUAAGCCAGCUUGACUGCGAGCGUGACGGCGCGAGCAGGUGCGAAAGCAGGUCAUAGUGAUCCGGUGGUUCUGAAUGGAAGGGCCAUCGCUCAACGGAUAAAAGGUACUCCGGGGAUAACAGGCUGAUACCGCCCAAGAGUUCAUAUCGACGGCGGUGUUUGGCACCUCGAUGUCGGCUCAUCACAUCCUGGGGCUGAAGUAGGUCCCAAGGGUAUGGCUGUUCGCCAUUUAAAGUGGUACGCGAGCUGGGUUUAGAACGUCGUGAGACAGUUCGGUCCCUAUCUGCCGUGGGCGCUGGAGAACUGAGGGGGGCUGCUCCUAGUACGAGAGGACCGGAGUGGACGCAUCACUGGUGUUCGGGUUGUCAUGCCAAUGGCACUGCCCGGUAGCUAAAUGCGGAAGAGAUAAGUGCUGAAAGCAUCUAAGCACGAAACUUGCCCCGAG